UAUGAAAUAUUCAAGAGAGAACUUAGGAAACACGGCCAGUUAGUUAAAAUAUUUUUUCAUUGUCAGUUAUAUCUCAAUUUUCAUCGAAAAAUGACAUGCUUUGUGAAUCAGCACUUUAGACUCAAUCGUAUCCUUCUACUCGCAAUUGGCUUAUGGCCUUAUCAGCGAUCAUUACUCAUUCGAUUUCAACAAAUCUUGCUUUUUGGUAUUUUGGCAAGUUUUAUUGUAUUUCAGCUAACAAAAUUAUCGACGUCCGAAUAUAAAACAGAUCUUAUUAUCAAAAUUCUUUCUACCGCAUUAUUUUUUGUGAUGUUUAUGAUUGAAUAUAACUCAUUUUGGAUUAAUUCUCAAACUAUGAAAAAUUUAUUGGAGC